GCCCCGAUAGCUCAGUAGGUAGAGCGUUAGUCUCAUAAGCUGAAGGCCAUGGGUUCGAUCCCCAUUUGGGGCA